GGCAAAUGCCGUUCGAAGGGCGAGGCGAUGGCCUACGUCGCCCCCGGCCGAUCGAAAGGGAGUCGGGUUCAGAUCCCCGAAUUUGGAGUGGCGGAGAGGGGCGCCGCGAGGCGUCCAGUGCAGCGACGCAAGCAAUCCCGGAGAAGCUGGCGGGAGCCCCGGGGAGAGUUCUCUUUUCUUUGUGAAGGGCAGGGCGCCCUGGAAUGGGUUCGCCCCGAGAGAGGGGCCCGUGCCCUGGAAAGCAUCGCGGUUCCGGCGGCGUCCGGUGAGCUCCCGCUGGCCCUUGAAAAUCCAGGGGAGAGGGAGUAAAUCUCGCGCCAGGCCGUACCCAUAUCCGCAGCAGGUCUCCAAGUUGAACAGCCUCUGGCAUGUUGGAACAGGGGAGUCAAACACAACUU